CAGUCGCCGCGGGAAUACGUAGGGUGCAAGCGUUAUCCGGAAUUACUGGGCGUAAAGCGUGCGUAGGUGGUGGUUUAAGUCCGUUGUGAAAGCCCUGGGCUCAACCUGGGAAUUGCAGUGGAUACUGGGUCACUAGAGUGUGGUAGAGGAUAGUGGAAUUUCCGGUGUAGCAGUGAAAUGCGUAGAGAUCGGAAGGAACAUCUGUGGCGAAGGCGACUAUCUGGGCCAACACUGACACUGAGGCACGAAAGCGUGGGGAGCAAACAGGAUUAGAUACCCGCGUAGUCCCUGUCUCUUAUAC
rnacentral:rRNA from 1 species